rnacentral:rRNA from 1 species
CGCGCAGGCGGUCGGAUCAGUCGAAUGUGAAAGCCCCCGGCUCAACUGGGGAGGGUCAUUCGAUACUGUCCGACUCGAAGGCAGGAGAGGGAAGCGGAAUUCCCGGUGUAGUGGUGAAAUGCGUAGAUAUCGGGAGGAACACCAGUGGCGAAGGCGGCUUUCUGGCCUGUUCUUGACGCUGAGGCGCGAAAGCUAGGGGAGCGAACG